AACGCGAAGAACCUUACCUGGGCUUGAACCGCGCAGGACCAGCGGUGGAAACAUCGCCUUCUCGCAAGAGACCUGCGUAGAGGUGCUGCAUGGCUGUCGUCAGCUCGUGCCGUGAGGUGUUGGGUUAAGUCCCGCAACGAGCGCAACCCUUACUCUUAGUUGCCACCCGCAAGGGGGAACUCUAAGAGGACUGCUCCGGAUAACGGAGAGGAAGGUGGGGAUGAGGUCAAGUCAGCAUGGCCUUUAUGUCCAGGGCUACACACGUGUUACAAUGCGCGCUACAAAGUGUCGCGAACCCGCGAGGGGGAGCUAAUCGCAAAAAAGCGCGCUCAGUUCGGAUUGCAGUCUGCAACUCGACUGCAUGAAGCUGGAAUCGCUAGUAAUGGCGCAUCAGAACGGCGCCGUGAAUACGUUCCCGGGCCUUGUACACACCGGAGUGC
rnacentral:rRNA from 1 species